UGCUGGCGACCGGCGCACGGGUGAGUAACACGUAUCCAACCUGCCCUUUACUCGGGGAUAGCCUUUCGAAAGAAAGAUUAAUACCCGAUGGGAUAAUCAUUCCGCAUGGUUUGAUUAUUAAAGGAUUCCGGUAAAGGAUGGGGAUGCGUUCCAUUAGGUUGUUGGUGAGGUAACGGCCCACCAAGCCUUCGAUGGAUAGGGG
rnacentral:rRNA from 1 species